rnacentral:rRNA from 1 species
AGCGAACGCUGGCGGCAGGCUUAACACAUGCAAGUCGAACGCCCCGCAAGGGGAGUGGCAGACGGGUGAGUAACACGUGGGAACGUACCCUUUGGUUCGGAAUAACUUGGGGAAACUCAAGCUAAUACCGGAUAAGCCCUUAUGGGGAAAGGUUUACUGCCGAAGGAUCGGCCCGCGUCUGAUUAGCUAGUUGGUGAGGUAAUGGCUCACCAAGGCGACGAUCAGUAGCUGGUCUGAGAGGAUGAUCAGCCACACUGGGACUGAGACACGGCCCAGACUCCUACGGGAGGCAGCAGUGGGGAAUAUUGGACAAUGGGGGCAACCCUGAUCCAGCCAUGCCGCGUGAGUGAUGAAGGCCUUAGGGUUGUAAAGCUCUUUUACCCGGGGCGAUGAUGACUGUACCGGGAGAAUAAGCCCCGGCUAACUUCGUGCCAGCCGCCGCAGUAA